rnacentral:rRNA from 1 species
GAUGAACGCUGGCGGCGUGCCUAACACAUGCAAGUCGAGCGAACGGACGAGAAGCUUGCUCCUCUGAUGUUAGCGGCGGACGGGCGAGUAACACGUGGAUAACCUACCUAUAAGACUGGGAUAAUUUCGGGAAACCGGAGCUAAUACCGGAUAAUAUUUUGAACCGCAUGGUUCAAAAGUGAAAGACGGUCUUGCUGUCACUUAUAGAUGGAUCCGCGCUGCAUUAGCUAGUUGGUAAGGUAACGGCUUACCAAGGCAACGAUGCAUAGCCGACCUGAGAGGGUGAUCGGCCACACUGGAACUGAGACACGGUCCAGACUCCUACGGGAGGCAGCAGUAGGGAAUCUUCCGCAAUGGGCGAAAGCCUGACGGAGCAACGCCGCGUGAGUGAUGAAGGUCUUCGGAUCGUAAAGCUCUGUUAUUAGGGAAGAACAUAUGUGUAAGUAACUGUGCACAUCUUGACGGUACCUAAUCAGAAAGCCACGGCUAACUACGUG